AGUGAAAUGACUGAAUAUAAAGUGCAAGAUUGUAAACCUUGUCAUGGGUGUAGAAUCCUUUCACUA
rnacentral:tRNA from 1 species